UACGUAGGGGGCAAGCGUUGGUCCGGAAUCAUUGGGCGUAAAGAGCGUGUAGGCGGCCAGAUAAGUCCGCUGUGAAAACUCGAGGCUCAACUUCGUAGCUGUCGGUGGAAACUAUUUGGCUAGAGUCCGGAAGAGGAGAGUGGAAUUCUGGUGUAGCGGUGGAAAAUGCGUAGAGAUCCGGAGGAACCCCAGAGGCGAAGGCGGCGUCCGUGGCUCGCAUCUGACGCUCAGACACGACAGCAU
rnacentral:rRNA from 1 species